rnacentral:rRNA from 1 species
GACGAACGCUGGCGGCGUGCUUAACACAUGCAAGUCGAACGGAAAGGCCCCUUUGGGGGUCCUCGAGUGGCGAACGGAUGAGUAACACGUGAGUAACCUGCCCUUGACUUCGGGAUAACUUCAGGAAACUGGGGCUAAUACCGGAUAGGAAUCCUUGCUGCAUGGUGGGGGUUGGAAAGCUUCGGCGGUUUUGGAUGGACUCGCGGCUUAUCAGCUUGUUGGUGGGGUAGUGGCUUACCAAGGCUUUGACGGGUAGCCGGCCUGAGAGGGCGACCGGCCACAUUGGGACUGAGAUACGGCCCAGACUCCUACGGGAGGCAGCAGUGGGGAAUAUUGCACAAUGGGCGGAAGCCUGAUGCAGCAACGCCGCGGGCGGGAGGACGGCCUUCGGGUUGUAAACCGCUUUCAGCAGGGGCGAAGCUUGUGGUGACGGUACCUGCAGAAGAAGCACCGGCUAACUACGUG